CCUACGGGUGGCAGCAGUGAGGAAUAUUGGUCAAUGGCCGGGAGGCUGAACCAGCCAAGUCGCGUGAGGGAAGACGGCCCUACGGGUUGUAAACCUCUUUUGUCAGGGAGCAAGGUGCAGGUCGGGACCUGCUGUGAGAGUACCUGAAGAAAAAGCAUCGGCUAACUCCGUGCCAGCAGCCGCGGUAAUACGUAGGUGGCAAGCGUUGUCCGGAUUUACUGGGUGUAAAGGGCGUGCAGCCGGGAAGACAAGUCAGAUGUGAAAUCCCGCGGCUCAACCGCGGAACUGCAUUUGAAACUGUUUUUCUUGAGUAUCGGAGAGGUAAUCGGAAUUCCUAGUGUAGCGGUGAAAUGCGUAGAUAUUAGGAAGAACACCAGUGGCGAAGGCGGAUUACUGGACGACAACUGACGGUGAGGCGCGAAAGCGUGGGGAGCAAACAGGAUUAGAUACCCCAGUAGUC
rnacentral:rRNA from 1 species